AGUCCCGGUUUAUCUGGAAGAAAUCAGAGGGGUGAGUGGGCCCCUGCCCUGUACCUGAGGGCUCGCCUUCACUUGGCCACACUCCACAGAUGACCUUUGGGGAGUUGUUGCUCUGUGCCCUGACAGGGGUCAAGGAGGCGGAAAAAGGCAGAUGGACCUGAUCUGAUUACAACAAAACCCAAAUCCCUCUAUAACAAAGCACUCAGAGCAAUGGUUACCAAUAGGUGGGACACACACACACACACACGCAUGAUGAGUCCAGGCAGUUCCAGGCAGUGUCUCUCUCACACACACACACGCAUGAUGAGUCCAGGCAGUGUUCCAGGCAGUGUCUCACACACACACGCAUGAUGAGUCCAGGCAGUGUCUCUCUCUCACAUACACACACACGCAUGAUGAGUCCAGGCAGUGUCUCUCUCUCACACACACACACACACGCAUGAGUCCAGGCAGUGUCUCUCUCACACACACACACACGAUGAGUCCAGGCAGUGUCUCUCACACACACACACACACACACACACACGCGCGCGUGAUGAGUCCAGGCAGUGUCCCAGGGCCCAGUGUAGCCCUUACCAACCUCAACUUUGAACAGAGAGAUGCCAGGCCUCUGGCUCAAGGCCUUCUGCUGUAAAUUAAUAAUUAAUAAGGCUGCUGAAACAUGGUUUGUUUGGAUGGUCUUUGCCUCCUUUUGGCAAAGGAUACUGGCCUUCCAAUUUUGGUGGCGUUAGAAAGGUUCCUUUCAAAAUAAAUGUAUUUAAGUAAAAAAAGACACCAAAAUGGGGGGAGGAGGGGCUGAAUACAAAACAUAAUAAGGCAGGUGGAAAAAAUCAUGAAGAGGGAUGUGAAUGACCCAAGUUUCAGAAACAAGGACCCGAAAUCAUGAUGCUGCAACCUGCCAGCUUAACUUCUACAGGGCACUGCUACGUUGUGACCUCACUGAAUGCUCACGUAAAUCCUAGUCUCCAGACAAGGAA